rnacentral:ribozyme from 1 species
GACACUCCCUACAUAGAGCCCGAGCGUUUGAGAAUCAGGGAGCUAAACAGCAACAGGGAAAAAUGGGUCUGCAACAAAGACUUCCGCAGAGUAACCACGAGUCAUGGGUUCACAAGGCCUUCCACUACUAAUCCGUCAACUCCGCUUUCGACAAACCCGAUUAGGAGUAAUAGCA